rnacentral:lncRNA from 1 species
CACUUUCAAGCCUAUUAAAAGUUAGAUAAUCAUUUGAGAGGUAAGAUAAUGUAAGAAAAGUAUUAGAAAAAUAAUAAAUCAUUGGCAUGAUUGAUGUCAUUAUUGAUUAGGCAUAAUUAUUGCCAUAAUUAGGUUGAAUUUUGAAUUUGAAAUGGUAUAAUUGUAGAUAUGAAAUAUGCCCUAAAAGAUAGUAUGUAAUUAUAUAAAAUUGCUAUAUAUAAUGCAGUUUAUAGCCCUUGAAAGGGCACCCGAUUCUCACACA